rnacentral:rRNA from 1 species
CCUGAGAGACGGCUACCACUUCCAAGGAAGGCAGCAGGCGCGCAAAUUACCCAAUCCUGACACAGGGAGGUAGUGACAGUAAAUAACGAUGCGGGGCCGUGAGGCUUUGUAAUUGGAAUGAGAGGAGGAUAAAGAGAAGGUCGAGUAACGAUUGGAGGGCAAGUCUGGUGCCAGCAGCCGCGGUAAUUCCAGCUCCAAUAGCGUAUAUUAAAGUUGUUGCAGUUAAAACGCUCGUAGUCGGGUGAUUGGGCUGGGUUGCCUGGUUGGAGGAAAGUCCAUACGGGACAGCCGGCCUAUUGGAGAUGGAUGGAGUGUAAUGCUCCCACACCAUCCUUUGUUGCUGUGAGGAAAUUAGAGUGUUUGAAGGCAAGCAGUUGCUUGAAUACAUUAGCAUGGAAUAACAAGACAGGGAUGCUUGGUCUUGUUGGUUAGACGAAACAUCUUAUUGAUAGGGCCCGUCGGGGGUAUUGGUAUUUGGCAGUCAGAGGUGAUAUUGUUGGAUUUGCCAAAGACCAGCGGGGGCGAAAGCAUUUGCCGAGGAUGGUUUUGUUGAUCAAGAAAGAAAGUUAGGGGAUCGAAGAUGAUCAGAUACCGUAGUAGUCUUGAUUAUAAACGAUGCCGGCAGGUGAUUUGGCAGGGUGUGGCCUUGCUCAGCACCCAGGGAGAAAUUGUAACGUUUGGGUUUUGGGGGGAGUAUGGUUGCAAGGCAGAAAAUUAAAGGAAUUGACGGAAGGGCACCACCCGGAGUGGAGCCUGCGGGUUAAUUUGACUUAACACGGGAAAACUUACCAGGUCCGGACAUGGGAAGGAUUGACAGAUUGAGAGCGCUUUUAAGAUUUUGUGGGAGGUGGUGCAUGGCCGUUUUUAGUUGGUGGAGUGAUUUGUUUGGUUAAUUUUGAUAACGAGCGAGACUUCUCCGAAACAUUUUAAACUUGGUUGUUGCAACGGAGUUUACAACUGUUUCGGACACCCGGUGCUAAGCCGGGGGAAGUUAGAGGCAAUAACAGGUCUGUGAUGCCCAAUCACUAGU